rnacentral:lncRNA from 1 species
UUAUACGUUUUUAAAUUUCAGAGGUGCUCUUUCCACAUCCUUCCUCGGGCCAACAAGGGGCAGGAAUGGAAAUACCCGGGACCCACAGGCAGCUGUGAUAACUGAUGUUAAGAGAACCGCAACAGGCAGUGUGUGAGCUCCGGCACGUACUUCUCAGCCUCAUGUAAGUGGCCCAUAAUAACUACAGCUUCAGCAGACAACUAAAGAGACUGCAUUAAGGUGAUUUCUCUGGCUAUAAAGAGAGCCCGGCCUGCAGAGCAGUGUGACUGCUGGGACCUCUGGGAUAGGCAACACUGCCCUCUCUCCCCCAGGGCUACUCCCCGGGCAGGUCGGGGCCCAAGGAAUGACCCAGCAACUGCUCCUUACCCAGCACACUCUCUUUACUGCCACCUGCAAUUAUGCUGUGAAGAUGACUGGGUGUGGUCAUCACGAUUCAGAGAAAUCAAGAUCUAUGACCAUUUUAGGCAAAGAGAGAAACUUGGAGAAUUGCUGAGGACUACUGAACCUUGUUUUGCUUUUUUAAAAAAUACUAAAUCCUCACUUCAGCAUAUUUAGUUGUCAUUAAAAUUAAGCUGAUAUUAUUAAGGGGUUGAUGAACUGAGGUGUCACUCACAAUUACUGCCUUCCAAGUAUUCAUGGGGUAGAUUUCAGUAAUUCUUGUUUGCUUCUGGCUUAGAAAUUGUCAGAAUGAUUUUUCUUUUAUACUUUCCAAUACUUGACUUAAUAUGCAUUUAGUGACAUUCUGUUUUUUUCAAUAUACGGUUUACAAGAUGACAGAAGAAUCCCAGUUCUUAGGUUAGAAUUGGAUUUCUCCCUCUACAAUUACACAAUUACUCUCAAAAACCAAGAAAGCAUACUGCUCGACUCAGGCUCUG